CUAACCACAAUUACUCGCGUGCUGCCGCAGUCUCCACUCGCACUUCCCCUCUCCUCGCUGCCCCUUCGACCUCCACGCCGCCGCCUCUUCACACGCAACCUUGCCGCCGGUGCUGCUCCACCGGCCUCCCUUGUCUCCUCUCGGCGGAGCUAUGCUCGCCACCAUUAAGUCCUAGGGGCGGCGGCGCUCUGCUUGGCCCUUCUCGAAGCGAUGGCGGGAGGACGUGCUGGUCGCCCGCUUGGUCUGGAGCAGGAGGUAGCUCGAGAUUGUGGAAGCGGAUCAGGGCGGUGAUUGCCUUGCCGGAGGUCUUCAGCAUAUGACCCAUCAUUUAGGAGAAGACACAUAGAGCGGCGAUGGCAACACGGGUCAACGGCAUCAGCAACACCGGAGUGCACUCUGGACUACCUUUGCUUCCAGAUGUGUGUCUCUCAUAGGGAGGAAGAAGAAAAUCAUGGAAACAAGUUCAGCGGUGGAUUUGGUGACACGAAUAUACAUAAGCGAGGACAUCAUCUUUUUGUUGAUCUGCGUGUUGGCUGGCCCGAACUGAGCGACACCCCUCAUGCUAACCGAUUUAUUUUAAGAAUCAAAUAUCCAAUGGUGGAUGUGCUUGCUUCUGAUUGCACAUAUCGCUUUAGAACAACUGGUAUUUUGUUUCUGCUUUUACAUUGGCUCAUACACGAAUGUGGUGCAAAGGCUUGGCAAGGCCGCCAGCGACGAGCGGCUGCUGCGUUUGGCAAAGCAGGCGGUGCUCCGGUCAGGGUACCUUGUCAUGGAAAUCAUCAUUGGUGGUAGCCCAUCUGUUGUUGUUUUUUUGGGACUGUUCCGUUUUAGGUCUGGGUGCGUAUGACUUUGAUUUAUUUUGCGUGUAUGUGCAUGACGCAGAUGAGAUGGAUGACAUGAUAACGGAAGAUUUCGAUAGGUUUGCCUCCAUCAUCAGGAGGGUGGAGUGCUUGCGCAAGCUCGCUCGAUUGCAUGCUAAAGCCAGUACUUCCAUCAAGGAAAGUAUUGAUGUUUGGAGGAAGAGACAAUAUAAGCAAUAAAAUGGUUUGCCCUUAUGAUGUAUUUCUCUCCUACCAUCAUGCUUACUGUAGAUUGUUUUCCAAGUAGCGGGGUUCUGUUUUUUUAGGGUAUCUCAUAUGUUACUGCUACAAUAUUUUUGUAAUAUUGUUGACCGCAUCUUGUAUGCCUUUUCUAGAUCGUAGAUAGUUCAUCCCUCAUGAAGCAUGUCCAAUAUGUAGCUGUGCUCUCUCGGUGGUCUCAUGAGAGGUGCAACCUGUCUUUACUGUGCCCUUCAUGAGAGAUCAUGGAGAUCAGUUAGUUGGCAAGUAAAUCUUCUAUUGAUUUGUAUCUUAUUUUGUAAUGAGGUGGCUACCCUGACGUCGAUAGCUUUAGUUUGCCUAGAGUUUGUACCUGAAUGCCGGUAGCUUCAGUGUGUAAGUGUUAGCACCUGAACAUUUUUUCUGUUUAAAUUUUACAACACUAUGUUUUCUGUGUAAAAUUUUGUUUUUUCCUGUCUAAUGGAAAUUGCUUCAAGAUCAACCAGUGCGGAAUUAGAAUGAUUGCUUUACAACUUCAGUAUGUAACUUAUAUUGUGUUUUCCUGUCUUAAGGAAAUAGUUUCAAAAUCAACAAGAGCUGAACUGGGGUCAGCAAUAUUGCUUUACAAUCCUGGUGUGUCUUAGAAGGAAGAAUUCUAAAGCAUGAGAAGUUUAUCAAUGCAGAACUUGAUAGAACCUGACAAAUUAUAAGUAAGUUGCAUUGCACAACUAUUGGAAAUUGUAUAAUAAAAAAUCUACAGGAAAUCUUUCUCCACACAUAAUACGAGGAUAAUGAGCAGUAAUUUGAUACUUCUGCAUUUUUAUAAUAUCAUAGGAACCACUAGAAUGGAAAGAGAAUGCAGUUUAGGCAGGAUCUAUAUAAAAAGCAAAAUUGGGGCCCUAGAGAUCUUUUGUUUCUUGUGAAAAACUGAAGUCCCAACAUACCUUUUUUUGUCAUGAAUAUGGACCUGUUUGUGUCAUGACCAUUUCGUCAGAUUAUUCGCGAUCCCUUUUCUCUUGAUUAUCUUAAAAGUAAUCCCCAUGUAAAUGUCACUUGACUCAGGGUGGAGGGAGUGCAUGGGGGACUGCCUACUGAUCUUAGUUACACCAUGAUCUUGGCCCACGAGUAUCAAUGAUAUCAUAGAAUCUGUGAAUAUAUUUGAGCAAAAGUGCCUGAUUCCCAAGAAGCGGGUUCUGAACACCCACUUCUCUUUGGUUUUUACAAGCUAGCUCACAAGACAUCAGGUUAUUUGUUUGGUGCAUGGCUCCCAUAUGGUUGCCUUUAUAAUGUAAUUUUUUGGUUUUCUAUUCUUAUAUAAGUACUAUUUUCCUUCAUUUUCAUUCUCUGUUUGUAGACUGCAGCCUCAGCCGUGUCCACUUUGCACUUUCUGGUCUUUGAUUGUAGCCUUAACUGCUGUCGUUCGUGCCUGUUGCUGCUGCUUCCUUCCUUUCAGUGAGUAUUGUGUUGUGGUUUCACGUCAAAUACUCACAACGAGACAGCACAUGCCUGGGUUGUUACCACUUACCAUCCGUCUCUCACAUCCAAUAUAUGUAUGGGACGUGGUAUUAAAAUACAUGGUCCAGGCCAUCAUAGAUUUAUUGGUGCUUUCUUGUUCAUGAUGCUCGCACUUCCCCUGCUACAUCUGUUCCAGAGAUUAAAUUUUCUUUCAACCUAUGACUAAAUAUAUCAUUUGGGAGUAUUGCAAAUUAGUGCUUGAUGUUUGAAAAUAUAUCUAAUUAUAUACCUUGCUAAAUCCUAAAACUUGAUGGUAUGUUGCAGGUCCGCAAAAAAGUCUGAUUGAACCAUGGCUCAGAAAAUGCGUUCUGCUGAUAUAUUUUGCUCAAUAUGACUGAUAUGUCCUGAUGAUGUACAUUAGGGGCUGCUUCAUUUUUAAGUACAAAUCUAAGUGAACUAUCAAGGUUCCUCAUUUAACAUGUUUAUGAGCUCAACAACUUUAUAAAUUGUCUUGUGCUGAUAAAUUUUUAUUAGUAAUUAUGGAGGUAGUGCGAAGAACAAUUGUCUGCUCACCUGGAAUUGUCGCAUUGUUCUCAGAAUGUGUUACGUUGACUGUCUCCCAUUACCUACUUUGCAUCCAGUUGCAGCAAAAGAAGUGUAUCUGCUCUGGCUUUCUACCGGUUGACUAAUGAUCUGUAUGAGGAACACUACUUAUCCAUGUCUCAUUCUUUCCUCUGAAUCAAGAGAAUACCAUCUCUCCGGCUAUAUCGGAUUCGGUAUCACUACUAAAAAGGGAGGCAACAAGGGCAUGUUUUCUAAGCAAGCAGCAGAUGUCCAACAUUUGCUAUCAAGGUAACCUUUUUGGCAAUUGUAUCUUCCAUUGUUAUUAGGUGGAUAGUUAUUUUUUAUUUAAUGAACUCGUUAAUUGCUAUUUAAAGUAUUGGAUCUGUGCAUUGGUUUGUGUGUUUCUCAAAUUUUGUAGUUAUAUGGUUAAACUAUUCUCAGUAAUUGUGAUGACAAGUCAGUUUUCAGGAUCUUAGUCUAAGCACUUCUACGAUAUUACCAUAACAACUGUCAGGUUUGUUUAGCUUAUUUUUCUUUGGUGAGGGCUUCCAUUGUUAUUACCUAGAUGGCUAUUGUCAAGCUCUUAUUUUUAUUUAUAUCAGUUUCUUCAGUUAGUAACUUAGUAUGUUUGUAUACCUACCUAUAAAUAUGAUAGCAAGUUGCAGAAUUUCCAAAAGCAAUUUUAGUCAACGCCUUGAUUAUAUCGAUACCGACUUGUGUUGUUUAUGUUGGGUUCAUAAGUCAGGUGUUAACCUGCUCUUGUGCAGUUCGCGCACUUCUUUUUUAUGUGGAUUUUGCUAUCAAAAUCUGUCCUCGUGGCCCUGGAUUUCCUCUGUGUUUCUUUUGUAUAGGUGGCAGAUGUUGAAUUCAAUAUAGCCAAUGAGAAGUUCAUGCUAAAAAGGUGUACGGGCUCUACAUGUGGUACUGUUUACUCCCCGCUGGGACCUCAAUUUAGUGUGAUACCAGCAGACUGAGUUGUAUUUGUGUUUGGCUAAAAUGUGGAGUUUUUCUAUGUGUUACUAUACACAAUAUUGUAACUUUGGUUUAUUCAUAAUUUUGGAAGUGGCCUAAAGUUCUUAUAA